rnacentral:rRNA from 1 species
AGAAAAAAUAGCGACAAAAAAUCAGGCGACUCGCACGCACGAGCGAGGCCUCCAGAUCCCUUCGCCACCGCCCGCCAGACCCAUCCUCGUCCCUGGCUCCCGGCGCCGCCCACCCCCCAUCUCCUCCUGCGAUCCUGGCAUCGCCUCGCCCCACCUUCUCCCUCACUCCCGGCGCCACCCCGCCCCCACCUUCUCCCUCACCACUGGCGCCGCCCAACCCCCAACCUCCAUGGAUCCUGGCACUGCCCUGUCCCCACCUCCUCCCUCGCUUCUGGCCGCCCAUGCCGCCUAUGCGCGCCCCUCCCUCAGCCCACCGACGACCUCCCAUCCUCCACCGUCUACCCCACCAUCGGAUCUCCUCCUCCCCUCUCCUUCUCUCCCUCGCGAACGCGUCAAACCCACGAAAUUUCCCUCCUCGCGGCCGGAACCCUAGCUCGCGCCUGUGGGUACUGGGCUGGAGGUGUGGCACGGGAUUCGCACCGCAGGAUUCACCAGCGACGAGUCCAACAGGUCGCCGAAUCGGGGAACGGGAUGGCGCACCCUGCUGCAGCCGCCGGUCGGGACGAGCGCGGCGGCGACGAACGUCAGUGCGCCUCCGUUUCCUCGACCUCCAAGGACGCGGGCGCCGGAUUUGUUCUCGCCUGACCAGCCUCGGUAUCCAGCUCCCUACAGCCACCGCCGGCAUCGAGUCCCAAGCAAGCGCGGAUGACGACGCCGCCAAAGAUGACGAGGCCCCGAGCUCGAGCACGACCACUACGACGCACUACACAAAGGCCCCUGCUUCUUGCCUGCCCUUCCCUUUGCUUGGAAGAUAGCUCUCUUCAGAUGUUGUUCCUGUCCUUCUCCUUGGUUGUUGAGCGCUGCACUCACUCAUGUAUGCAGGUUGAGUCCAAGCACAAUAGGCGAGAAGACGACGGUGACGCAGAGGAGGACGAGGACCCGCGCUCCAGCCCGACCACGACUAUGCACCGCACGGUCCCUGCUUCCUGGCUGUCGCCAAUUGCCCCCUUCCCUUUACAGUACUACUCUAUUUGUUUUCAUUGCUUUUCACCCAGUUUUGCACACUUUCUGGCCCUUCACUUUUUUGUGUGCAAAUGUUCUGAUCGCCUCCAUAUGGCUGUUUCCGUCCUCCUGCUCAUGCUGUCUCCAUCCUCCUGCUCAAGUAGUCGCGGUCGCCUCCCAUCCUUCAUGGCCUGCGUGUGUGCGCCCACUGUUGGAGGACGACGUUGAACAUGAAGCGGAGCCCAGCCGGAGCAGUCUGACGCGGUGGUCGUGGCCAAGGGGUGGUGGUCGAUGCCAUGGAGCAGGGCCCCUCGGUCGCUUGCACACCGGCUGCGUUCUGGACUAAUGCUUUCUGCAACUGCAAUGUUCCCCUCCACAUUGUAUCUUGUGUAGGCAGAAGGAAUGCAGCUCAGCGACGGCGUCGACUCCAACUGGAUCGAUGGCCUGAAGGCUUUUACUAAGAAGAUGAAGAAUGUUGUAGAAUAGUGUCCAUCAACAAAGAGUCCUACUACUACCGGUUGGAGAGGCUCUAUCCUCAGGUGAUUGAUUACUUAAGAAGUAUACUGAAUUAUGAUAUCCAUCGAUCUAAUUUUGUAUAGGAAUUUUUAAAAACUAAAGAAUCUGUGGUACAUGAUUUAAUUUACUCAUUUAGAUUUUAGUAAAUUGUGAACGGAAGUUUUUUUCACAAAACCAAUGCACCACCCUUUCUACACACAUCAUUCAUGGAUUGGCAGACUAAAGGUUCUAUUCAACAUCUUUGGUGGAUUGCAUAAAUGGGCUAGAGUAAAAAUAUACCAGAAUUGUUAUAUGUGCUUAGGGAAGUGGGAUUAGAUCAAGAUUUUUUUGACAAAAUGAGAAAUCAAUGGCUCAAGGAGAGUAAGCCCAAAGAGAUAAGUAUUGUUUUCCUUUAGUAGCUUGCCGCAUAAUUCAUUCAAACAUAUUUAGAGUGGAGCAGGAAUAUUCAAACAAGGAAAUGUGCACAAUAUCUGUUAGUAUACAUGUGACACUUUCCCCUCUUUCGACUAAUGAUUGCCUCCUGCCGGGUAUCACUAAUAGCACAUUCAUCACAUCAUUUGGGUAGCUCAUUCUGGUGUAAGUCGGGCCAAUUUAGAAAAGAUUUUAAAGCAGAUUCAUACAGGUUAUAGAAGUCAGAGUCAAAUAGUAUAAUAAGUGAUUUGUUUGUGCAUAAUUUCUAAUUGAUCGUCUUCUAAGGAUAAAUGGAACCGCUACCUUUCCUCUCUCCAAUAAACUAUUAGACCCUGGUUGUAACUAUUUUCAUCUUGGUGUGAUUUAUAAGGGAGGCCAUGCCAUUAGUUUUUUGUUAUUACAUGCUGUGAUGACCCCGAUUCAUUGAUGUAUAGUGUCGUAUGUGGUCAAUUACCUAAUAUGGUAGUUACACUUCUCCUGGUUUGCCUUGGUCUAAAAUCUGACUUUUGGACUGAUUGUAGUCAAUCUGAAUUAGUGAGGUUCUUUUUUCCAACUGUCCAUGUUCAGUUCUCUACAUUAUCAUGCAUUUUCUUUGGUUUAAAGAUGUCAUGAUGUUCACCAAGGCAGAGAAGAAAUGUUUUAAAGUUGUCCCUUCAAUUGAAACAAGUAUGACUUGGUCCUUAGUGCCUAUGCAAACAUGAAAACGGAAGGUCGAGAGGUUUAAAUAUGUCAUGAUGUUUACAAUUGCGGAUAUCCUGCUUCAGGUACUUGCCUGAUAACUCACAAUUUCAACACAGAAGUUACUAAUCUGUAAGACAUGCCCUCUCUCAUUCAAUGAUGUCCUGAAAUUUUCACACAAAGCUUUGUAAUCUUGCCAAGUAACAAGAGAGCCAAGUAAUCAUGCGAAUUUUCAGAGAACUUCAAGUGGCAUGCCACCAUUUGCAAUGGUCGUGAUGUAGUGAUAAUUAAUAAACUGCAGGCCUUCUAAAUAUUCUAAAGUUGCAUAUCUAAGAGCAUAUUAUAUUUCUCAUAAACAACUGGAGUUAAGCUUCUAUCCUCUUCCUGUCUUAAAGGAAUUAUCUGUUGAGUAAGCUAUAGUCUCUUUGUUUGACUAGCUAGGCUGUGUUACAUACAUGUAUAAGAUGAUGCUUCUGUGGCUAUAACUGGUGCCUGCCGUGCUAAAUAGGAAGCACCCUAUUAAUUACCCACCUCAAUUUCAUUAGUGCAUUCGGCCUGUGAAUUUUACCCCAGACUAUAAAUCCCCUCCAAACGAAACCCUAUAGGUGUACUAUGACUCUUAAUAGUGUAUCCUUGUAAAAGUCAGUGUGUUGGGUUAUUUUUUUGGUGUGGUUAGAGAACUCGACUCCAUUUGGAACGAGGGUUUGAGUUUUAUUUUUCCUAAACCUUUGAAAGGCAGAGCCAUGGAAUUAUUUUGUGCUCUCAUUCCUCUGGAUGGAAGCUCUAACUUUUCCUCUUUGUUUCCAAUAAGCUACUUUCUUCGAGAUUGUGCAAUGAAGGAUUUUGAUGGUAAGGGAUCGUAGAGCCUCGGGUGACUAGCAUUAAGAUAGGAAGGCUAUUGCCGCCCUUGUCCCUUGCUGCUGGGUUGCCACAGUGGCGUCAAUCACUGGCUUAUUUAGAACAAUAGUUAGUGGAUUUUGUGAUAAGGGUGAGGGCCGAGAGUGAGAGGGACGGGGUUGGGAUUGUUCUGUUGUAUGCGUGAAAUUAUUUCCCUACUUUAGAAAAUAUGGCAAAUUGCAUUUCAUUAGAGAUUGAUUUACAGCAAAUUGCAUGAGCGAGUGGUUCAUGCAUUUUUCAUCAAGUUGUACAUUUUCUUGGUUACGACAUAAGGGUAAAUGUACUGGUUGGUUGCUUCAAGACUUAAUAACAGACACUAUGACAAUGGCUCAAGAGAUAUCAGAUCUACCUUCUUGGAUGGGGGCGUUAUGGGUGGCGCACGCCUCGGCCCCCUUGAUGGCCGUGGUGGAUGGACAUGAACACGAGGGGGGAUCAGGGCGGAGAGCAGGGUGGUUGGCGGGGGACUCAUCCUUGGCAGUUCAUGGGAAAGUAUGGUGUGAAGCAGAGGGGGCGCCAUGGCGAAGUGUGAAAGGAGGAAAAUGAUCACCGGAAAGCAGGUAGAUCUACACCUUGAGAGAUGGCAUUUUGCGGUACAUUGUUUAGGUAUUUGGAUAUCUAUUAUCAUUCAAGAUAUCUUAAGGAGAAAUUUGGUUUUUGAUGAACUGAAACAAUAUACCAAUAAAAAUUUAGCGCUUGGCUGUACAUAUGAAUGUUAACUUUGUUAAAAUAAUUCUCCCUUUAUAAGAGAAGAUUUCUUAGUUCAAAUAUAUUUUUUGAAAAAAUAUAGUAUUUUCCUGACAAUCCUUUUGAUUCUAAAACAUCCAUAUCUCAGAAGGAUAAUAGUGGUGUGUUUAUGUUGCUUUGGGUCUCUUAUCACUCGGAUCAUUCAUCAGAAAAAUAUUUCAAAAAUAAUUCUAUUUUGACGUUUCCUUUGUGUUCAUUGUUCCAUCAUAGUAGUUUAGGUUCACAUCAAACCAGACCAUAUGUUUCAGUUUCACUCUUUGGACCAUGAUGGUGGUGUGCAAGGUGGGCUAGAUCGUAAUACUAAAAGAAUCAAUGGAGGUUAUUGGAUAGCUUUUAGAUUCUCCAAAAAAUAAUCUAGCAGAUGGAUGAUCCUAUUAUCACGUAUGGUGGUGGUGUGCAAGGAAAUGAAGCAGCAUGAUGGUAGCUACUGAUGUUAUUUUCACAUGUAAUUCCUGCGGAGUGUAGUAUAUUGGGAGCCAAGGCCGAGUAGCAAGCCAUGUGUCACCGCAAGGACAGGAGCGAGAUUUAAUUAAUUGUAUUUGCAAGAUUUGGUCUUCCCUUCUUGUUUUCCUGGUCAUCUCACAGGUCAUUAGUGGUCACUUGGGAUGAGUGCGAUCUGUAGCAUUUGAUCCAGGGAACAAAUGGUUUUGUCCUGGUUUUGCUGAUAGGACAAUAACGGCAAGGAAGAAGGUUGCAGAGCACGGAUGGAUGUGAAAAGGAAGAGGAUGGAUGAGAGAGGAGAGAAGAGGGGUGAAAGAGGAUACAGAUGGAAAGAGGGAGAAGGACAGGGUGGAGGCGCUUCUUGAGGAUUAUUGUCGACUGAUUUCAUACUCUCUUAUAAAUUCAUGGUUAGCUAGGUAAACCUUUUGUACAACAACUCUUGUUCAUAAGGAAGUUUGAUUUUUCGGCUUCUUAUUUUAGGUCAAUAUCAAGAACAGUUUAGUUAAUUUAGUUUAAUGUUUAUGUUUGAAAUUGACUUUUACCAUUCUGGUUGAAUGGGGAUGUGGAUAGAAGAGAUUGCGAGUCGGGUACGGUGAUGCCAACAUUGUAUUAGGGGCAGAUAGAUUUAAGUUCCGUCUUAUGUGCAUGAGGAUAGGAUCACUAUUAAAUCAUCAGAAUAAGUCUGCUCCUAUUGCAACGCACCCACAAUGGGAGAAAUGUGAUGUCCAUUUGAUUUUUGGGAGAACACAAGUGCAACCUGAGGCCGAAGUCGUUGAUGGCACUACGAGAUGCAAUGGCGAUGCUGAAGGCGUCGAUGGCACUGCGAGGCUGAGCCCUCUUGGGAGAAUCAAGAAAGAAAGAAAAGAAGAGCGCUUCAAGGGUAAAAAGGUAGUUGCUGAUGCAGCCCGUUGCAACACACGUGAAUGUGUCUGCCUAUUUUGUUUUUCAUUUUAUGCUCUGGUGGAACGGUAA